rnacentral:rRNA from 1 species
AUACGUAGGGGGCAAGCGUUGUCCGGAAUGAUUGGGCGUAAAGGGCGCGUAGGCGGCCUGGUAAGUCUGGAGUGAAAGUCCUGCUUUUAAGGUGGGAAUUGCUUUGGAUACUGCUGGGCUUGAGUGCAGGAGAGGUAAGUGGAAUUCCCGGUGUAGCGGUGAAAUGCGUAGAGAUCGGGAGGAACACCAGUGGCGAAGGCGACUUACUGGACUGUAACUGACGCUGAGGCACGAAAGCGUGGGGAGC